UACGUAGGGGGCAAGCGUUGUCCGGAUUUAUUGGGCGUAAAGAGCGUGUAGGCGGCUUUGCAAGUCCGUUGUGAAAACUCGAGCUCAACCUCGAGACGCCGGUGGAAACUGCAAAGCUAGAGUCCGGAAGAGGAGAGUGGAAUUCCUGGUGUAGCGGUGAAAUGCGCAGAUAUCAGGAAGAACACCAAUGGCGAAGGCAGCUCUCUGGGACGGUACUGACGCUGAGACGCGAAAGCGUGGGGAGCGAACAGG
rnacentral:rRNA from 1 species